UUGGUAAUAAUUUAUUUCAAAGCAGAUGAUGGAACACUGGUGACAAGAAGAAUAAGAUCUGAGCAAACGUUCACCAGAUUGCGCCAGCAGUAAUGCAAAUCAGAGUCAGACUUCAGUCAGGUGCACUAUAUUGCCAAAAGUAUUAUCUUAUGUGCCUUCACAGGCAUAUGACUAACAUCUCAUUCUUAAUCCGAAAGGGUUUAAUAUGAUGUUGGCCCACCCUUUGCAACGAAAACAGCUUCAACUCUUCUGGGAAUGUUUUCCCCCACGUUUAGGAUUCUGUUUAUGGGAAUUUUUCACAAUUCUUACAGAAGCACAUUUGUUAGGUCAGACACUGAUAAAGGCCUGGCUCACAGUCUCAACUCCAAUUCAUCCCACAGCUGUUCUUUUGUGUUGAGGUCAGGACUCUGUGCAGGUCAAUCAGGUUGUCAGGUGUAAGGCUUGGAUGCAGCUGCUCGUCCAUAGAAACCCAUUCUAAUCUGAAGACCACAUGACGUUUGGACUCUGCAGCAAUUGACUCUGCAGAAGGUUGGAGACCCGGGCUCGCUUUAUGUGCCUCAGCAUCUCCUGACCCCACUGACUUUAUGUGGCCUAGCACUUUGUGACUGUGUUUCUGACAUUCCCAAUAACUUCCAGUUGACUGUGGAAUAUUCAGUAGCAAGGAAAUUGGUCUUGUUGCACAGAUGGCAUCCCAUCACACUACUACACUGAAGUUCACUGAGCUCCUGAGAGCAACCCAUUCUUUCUCAAGUGUUUGUAGAGGUGGUCUGCAUGCCUAGGUGUUUGAUUCUAUACAACUGUGCCCAUGAAGCAACUGAAAGAUCUGAAUUCAAUGAUUUGGAUGGAUGAGGGAAUUCUUUUGUCAAUAUACUUAUUAGUAUAGGUUUUGAAUAACAGUUCUCAGUUGGAGGAGAAUCUGAUAGAUGCAUUCACAGGCAGUGUGCACAUGGGUGAAACUGUGCUUUCUACAUACAGACCUCAUCUAUUACUGCUUAAAAAUAGAGAGAAACAUGGUUUCUUGGUGUUUGAAGUCAGAUCGGUGAUUAUGUUUGCCACCUGAAAACUAUGUAAGCAGGAAACCAAAUCUCUUUUUCUUCCAACAAACAACACAGCAAAGACAAAAGCACAGGAGCAUCACAACGUGGAAA
ensembl:lncRNA